rnacentral:rRNA from 1 species
AGUGAACGCUGGCGGUAGGCCUAACACAUGCAAGUCGAACGGCAGCACAGUAAGAGCUUGCUCUUACGGGUGGCGAGUGGCGGACGGGUGAGGAAUACAUCGGAAUCUACUUUUUCGUGGGGGAUAACGUAGGGAAACUUACGCUAAUACCGCAUACGACCUACGGGUGAAAGCAGGGGAUCUUCGGACCUUGCGCGAUUGAAUGAGCCGAUGUCGGAUUAGCUAGUUGGCGGGGUAAAGGCCCACCAAGGCGACGAUCCGUGGCUGGUCUGAGAGGAUGAUCAGCCACACUGGAACUGAGACACGGUCCAGACUCCUACGGGAGGCAGCAGUGGGGAAUAUUCGACAAUGGGCGCAAGCCUGAUCCAGCCAUACCGCGUGGGUGAAGAAGGCCUUCGGGUUGUAAAGCCCUUUUGUUGGGAAAGAAAAGCAGCAGGUUAAUACCCCGCUGUUCUGACGGUACCCAAAGAAUAAGCACCGGCUAACUUCGUG